AUGGAGGUCUGGAGCGUCAGAGCGGCGCAGCUCUUGCUCUUCUUCUUCCUCUUGUCUGAGAGGCAUGGGUCUUGUGCCGCCCUCGGUGAAAAAGGGCGAGUCAUGAGUUUCAGAGAAGAGCACCCAAGUGGAUGGUUAUGGAAUUUGGGACAAAAGAAGGUUUUCAGCGCAGCGGCGACACGCUUAAUCAAGGGAAACAAACUAUCAAUUGAAAUUCCUAACGAGUUACAAGAGUGUAUCAUGAUUUCAGAGGUUCUAACUGAUGGAAGGCAACAAUCGUGCAGAAAAUGUUUAACAAAAACCAUACGGAGUACCACCCUGAGGCAACUCCUACAGGCAAGGGGGCUGCAAGAAUCAGCACCUUCCUCUAAGGCUAAUGAUCAGCCUCAUAAAAGCCAGUCUCCCAUGUCUUCGCUGGCAUCGCAUUCGCAAGCUGAAACCAACGAGUCUUCUUCUGUGCUUCACUGGACUAUCUACGCAUUGUGCGUCAGUGGAGCGCUUGGCCUUGUGGUUAUAGCGACUGUUGUGUAUCUACUUGUCUCCCGUAGAAAGAAGGAUAACACCGUUAAUCCAUGGGCUACCGGGCUGAGUGGACAGCUAAGGAAAGCCUUCGUGACAGGUGUUCCUUCUUUAGGAAGGGCCGAACUUGAGGCGGCGUGUGAGAAUUUCAGCAAUGUGAUCGGUACUGUAUCUGACAGUGCAUUGUACAAGGGAACCCUGUCAAGUGGAGUUGAAAUAGCUGUUGCCUCCAGUCCAAUUAAGUCUGCCAAAGAAUGGUCGGAUCGGUCCGAGGAGCAAUUUAGGAACAAGAUCUCUGUGUUAUCCAAAGUGAACCAUAAGAACUUCAUGAACCUACUUGGUUACUGCACAUGCGACGAUCCAUUCACCAGGAUGAUGGUGUUUGAGUACGCUCCAUGCGGUUCGCUCUUCGAGCAUUUGCACGUCAGGGAAGCAGAGCACCUGGACUGGCCUACCCGGCUGCGCAUCAUCAUGGGAGUAACAUACUGCCUGGAGCACAUGAACCAGCUAGACCCUCCUGUCACCCCAAGAACCCUCAACUCCUCGUCCAUCUACCUCACCGAGGACUAUGCGGCCAAGUUCUCCGACACCGAGUUCUGGAAGGACGACGAAGCAGACGUGGCGCCGACGCGAUCCGCAGGCCAGGACAGCAUCGUCUACAAGUUCGGGAUACUGCUGCUCGAGGUGAUCUCCGGCCGGCUGCCCUUCUCCGAGGACCACGGCCUGCUUGUCCUCUGGGCCUCCAGCUAUCUGGACGGCAAGCGGCCGAUCGGAUCGAUGGCCGACCCGGUGCUCAGGGCGUCGUCGCCUGUGCCCGAAGAGGACCUGGCGGCGCUGUGUGAUGUAGUGAGGCUGUGCAUAAACCGCGAGGCGGCGAAGAGGCCGUGCAUGGGCGAGGUCGCGGGGCUGAUGAAAGGCGCCGUCAGACUGUCGCCGGAGCAGACGACCCCGAGGAACAACCCGCUGUGGUGGGCUGAGCUCGAGAUUAUGUCCACAGCAUCCACCUGA
rnacentral:rRNA from 1 species